AAGAGAAAACAAUAAUCCACAAAUUGAAACGAAUAGAUUACAAAGGAGGAAACUCACCCUUUCAACUCACCCUCUCUCAUAAUCUCUCUCUACCUUACCUUUCACUCUCAACUCACAGCACACCAAUCUCUGCCCACAACACACAACCAAAUCUUAGCACCCUAUCCUCCAUUUUAUAGAGUAAGGGAAGGAGGUGAUAAACUUCCAAUGUGAUACCUAAUUGUUAUCCUAUUCUAACUAGAAAAACAUAAAAGAUAAUUCCUCUCAAGAGUUCUAGAUAACUCGAGAGUUUCACUCUCACAUGAACACUCCAUGUGAGCCCCAAUCAAGCUUGGAUUUGGCUAUUGGGCUAGACUUCAACACAUACAACUCCAACUCACCACCGAAAUUCAAAUUGUGAACUUUGCUCCUAAUUUUUCUUCUUCCUCUACUUGUUAUCAAAACAAUCAGAUUACAAGCCUAGUCAACUCGAUAUAGAAUAGUUUCGGUUGAACUCAGUCAGUUUUGGUCAACUCGAUCAAACUCAGAUCCAAUCAACCCAGCUUGACCCGACUCAGUCAAACCAGUCAAAGUCAAAACCGGUCAACUUAAUACCAUCAAUCAAUCAAUCAAACAACAAAUCAACCGAUCAGUUGUGUAUUGAUCACCCAAUCACCCAAUUUGAACCAGAUCAAUUGGGAAUUCAACACGACCACAAUCGCGUAUCAAAAAAAUAGUCAUGAACUCGAACCAGUUCAUCCACAAAAGUGGAAUACCAGUUCUUCAACAAGGUGAUACACAAUGCAGCACUUAAUUGGAGAUCGCCACAGCCAAUUAUUCAUAAUCGAACACAACUCUUGAUCUUUGAUUCACGAAAUUGACUCAAAUCGUAAGCAAUUCUUGUGGAAUCCACUCAAGUUGAACACGAUCCAUGUUUACAUCACCAGGCGUGACCCCUCGUUCAACAUUCAGCUAAAAUUGUUGCUACGACAAUAUAACUUGUUUAAAAAUAAUUGUGUAAAACAAAAGUCACAACAUUUUAAAGUUUAUAAUAUAAAAAUAUAAUAAGAAGUGUCAUCAGCACUCUUACAAAAGUAUUGAUUGGACGUUUUAGAGUAUUUAUAGGAGCACUCAUUAGGAGUGCUUUUAUCAAUUACCUUAUUUCUCAAUGACAUUAGAUGGGUCUUUGUUGACAAAAUAAUUUGGUUGAUUAACUGUUUUAUACACGAGACCUAUAUACACGAGACCUACCCAAUUAUCCCUUAAAUUUAAAUCAUCAAAUAUAUAAAUAAGUUUAAAAAAAAUCAAUAGGUUUAAUUGAAUCUAUGAGAAUCACCUAACUCGCUUAUGUCGAUAGUGUCACUCGAACCCAUUGUAUCGAAAAACAUAUCGUGCGUGUUUGGCAAAGUUAUAAGUAAUAAUUUUUACUUUUUGUCUUGAAAAUUGUGUCAAAGUAUUUGGCACAGUUCUGCUUUUGCUUAUGGGCCCAAAAUAACUUAUAAAAGUUGAAAAAGAAUUGAUUCUUGGAAAUUCAAUUAUUAAAUUUUUAAUUUUUUUUUUAAAAAUAAUAAGUAAUUCUAACAUAAAUUCAACUAUAUCAAACACCCUCACUGAAACAAAUAAGGUUAAUAAGUUUUACACUCUAAAUGCAUUCUAUUCUUUGUUUUUAUUAUAUAAAGUUACAAUAAAGCUCUCGACACUUUUGUCAAUUACCAUAAUUGUUCUUCUUCAUACCAUUAUAUAUUGGGGUUUUUUUUAUCCUUGUAUUGGUAAUUUAGGCAUUUAUUCAAAAACUGCAUAAUAAAGACAUAAAGUGGAGUGUAUUUGGUGAAAAACAAAGUGCAAAAAUCAUCACUGAAAAAAUAUUGGUAUAUAUUGUAUAAUUUCUAGUUUUUUGACAAUUUUAUACAUGUGGCAUCACUAGAAAAGAGUUUGAAUUCUUGAACAUAUCCAAAAAAAUACUUUGAAAAACCUUUAUAAAUAAUAUGUAACGUUCCAGGGCACAAACACGUUUGAUACCACGAGAGAGAAAUUUCGCUACCCCUUUUUAUUUUUGUCAAUAAAAUUUCAGUUUGUAUGUCAUUACUUGCAAAAAAAAAUUAUGUCAGCCAGCCACGGGACAUGUGAUAGUUUGUUUUGUUCGAGCUGCAUAUUAAAAAAAUGACACAAAGGGAGAUUGAAAGAAGAUGAUCCAGAGGGGUAGGGAUUAAUAAUAAUAGUAAUAGUAAUAAAAUAAUAAUAAUAAUAAGGGUCCUUGAAUCCAAUUUUCAAGUCUUUCCUCUCCCCAAACAUUAGUUCUCUCUUAAACAGACAUACAUGAUACAUCAAUGUUAUAUUUUAAGCUGAUAAACUGAAGUUGGAGAGCAUCUCCACGUGUUCCUCAAAGUUUUCCCCAUUCAUUAAAUGCCAAGUCCCACGUAUUUCUUUUCUGUUUUUAGUUCUUUUUAAUUCUAUCGUAAAUCUUGACUUGAGUUCUUAUAAUAAUAGCCUCAUUCAUCCACUCUCUCCCCCUAAUCUUACGUUGAACUACUCUCUCUCUCUCUCUCUCUCUCUCUCUCUCUCUCAGGUCAGUCUCAUCAUAUCCCUCCCCCAUCCCUACUUGAGUCUUCAACAAUACCUACCCAUCACUCCAAAUUUUCUCAAAACCUCUUCUUAUAAUAUGGGCUCAAUACACAAACACACAAUCUACAACUACGAAUCCCAGCCUCUCUCCUCGCCAAUCAAACAAUACCAAAGACAAAUCCGAAGCCCAACCUACCAACCUCCCUUACCCCCCACCUCAGACAAUGGCUUCCCCAUCCUAGCCAUUGCAGUCCUCUGCAUAAUGGCCAUAUCUUUCCUAAUAGCAUCCUACUACAUCUUCCUCUCAAAAUUCUGCUUCAGAUGGCAACAACUCGACCCCCUCCACCGCUUCUCUUCUCUCUCCUUACCCCCACAUAAUGACGAUCCGUUCUCAACCUACUCUCCCUCACUUCACAAUCACAGGCUCAACGAAUUGCUGAUCAGCGAAAUCCCCACUUUCCAGUACCCCCGAGUGGUAAAGGAGGGGAGAGUACUAGUGCUACUAUGCACAAGUGUGUGGUUUGUUUGAAUGAGUUUCAAGAACAAGAGAUGCUGAGAAUUCUCCCCAAGUGCGGCCAUGGAUUUCAUUUAGAUUGUAUAGAUAUAUGGCUUCAGAGCAAUGCGAAUUGUCCCAUCUGCAGAUCGAGCAUUUCGGGGGAGAGAAAAUACCCGGUUGAUCGGAUUGUUGCACCGACCUCUUCACCUCAGGAUCCACAGCCUUUUUUGGGUACCCUAGGUGACGAGGAUUUUGUGGUGACUGAAUUGACUGGAACUGAUACAACAGCGAUGCAACCAGAAACAAGCGGCUCAUCAACAGACCAGAAGCUUGACAAGGUCAAAUUUAGAAAGUUUCAUCAUGUUUCAAUCAUGGGUGACGAGUGCAUUGAUGUAAGAGAGAGGGACAGAGAUGAUCAGUUCAGCAUACAACCAAUUAGGAGAUCUUUCUCUAUGGAUUCUGCUGCUGAUCCGAAGGUUUAUUUGGCAGUUCAAAAGAUUAUAAGACAGAAUGCAGGCCUUAGUGAGGUUAGAAACAACCAAGAGUCCAGUAGCAGAGUCAGAAGAUCAUUCUUUCCAUUUGGACAUGGACGCGGAUCUAGAAGUUGGGUUCUUCCGAUUUAAUUUUAGCUUCAUAUAGAUUUCUAAUUCAUGCAUGUUCACCAGAUUUGUUUCUAUAUUAUUAUCUUUGAUUUUUUGUGAUUGAGAUAGCGAAACUUCUUAGAGAAAUGCUUAGCUUAGAAAAAGACUCCGGAAUGACAUUUAGAAGUAGUUGGUGUUGUGGUCUAUUGAUGAAAAAUGCAGGCAUGGGAGUCAGAAUGAUUGCUUGAACCAUUAUGAAAGGAUACAACUCUUUGUUUUUGUUUUUUGUUUUCUCUUCAUGAAUGAACAUGAUUGUGUUUUUAUCCCUCCUCCUUUCAUACGAACGGCCGGAGAGAGAAAGCGGGUAAGAAAGGCAAUUAACUGUAGAGGGCCCUUUCUUUUUUUUUUUGUUUUUUUUUUUGGAACAAAUGAGUAACUAUGAGGAAAACAUUAAAGAGUCUUCCCUUGAGAUAUGAUUGGAAUCAUAGAACACAAAAAUUCGAAAUUUGUCAUGCAGCUACAUAUGAAUUAGGACAAAGACACCCACGACUAUAUGCUUCAACAGGAAUCGCACAAUAGACUCGAAACCUUGGAUAAAAUGCCUGCUCAUAACCCAGCAGAUAAAACUGCAUUAUACAUAACUACCAUUUUAGGUAUUGGGGACUUGCCCAUAAAGGCGAUUGGACAAAGAUAGAGAUAUUUGGAUACAGAAUUAUGUACCACCUUUGUGUCGAAGGCAAUAAUAAUUUCAAUUUUUGCUGAAGAACAGAGGAUGAUCAUGUUACCAGACUGGCUAUCUUUCAGCUUAUGUCAAUGUUGGCUCGUCUACUACUAGAGGAUGACCAGUCAGCCCCCAAUAGCCCAGUUUCAUCUCAUCUCAGAUUCAUGUGAGCUGAGGAUUUCUAAAGACUUGAUUUAUUUUGAAAUCCAAAAUUGGUUUGGUAUCUCUUGUUUGACUUUGGGUGAUUUAAAUCAGUCAACCUCAAAAACACAUGCUUAAAGCUUCACUUCCUAUGUGUCUGGUACUUGUGCAUGCAUGGUUAAUUGAGUUUAGCAAGUACGUGAGACAAAAAUGGCAAGGAGAGAGACUCUUACCUCUAUCUGGAGAUUGUAUCCAGCUGCAAACAGCCAUACCCCAUCUUAGAGGAAAACCAACACCCUGCGCUGCCACCAUAGAUUUACGUAAAACAUCUUCAUUUGGAAGAAACUGAAAUCAUAAAUCAAAUGGCUUGGAUCUUGUUUACAGUUUUGGAAGGCUUGGUGACUCUAGGGUCCCAUGGUACCUUCCAAAUGAAGUUGAGGCCUGUUCACAGUCUAACCUCAUAAUGAACUAUAUACAACAAAGAAUCUAGAGCGUCUUUUUUUAUGAGAAGAAUAAAGAUCACAAUCCAGACUUCUAAACCCAUAGACAUUAGUGGUAUAUCCAAAAGCCAAGAAACUCCGAGUGACCAGUUGAACCUUGAUCACACAGAACUUGUUGGGUCGAAACUCAUAGAGAAGCUCGCUGGAGGUCUACUAUAAAUGUCAUCAAAAGGAAGAUUGAAUUCUCCCCCCUCUAAGUCGUUCAUGUAAUAGGUCCGAGACAACCCAUGAGAGCUUCUCCAGUCAAAGUGUUGUUCUUCCUCUUCCAAGCUUCUAUCCGAGAAAUGAUCGUAAUAAUUAUUGGGAAUAUUGUGGUUGAAAUUCGGAGGCUCAAGAAAACUUGUUUGGGGGUCUGCACCAUGCGGGCGACUUCUAGCCCACCAAUGGCUCUUAGUGGGGUGUGCCAUGCUACUGGAGUCAUGAUGCAGUAGUAUGCUUUCACGCAAGAAAGGAGCUGAUGUAGAAGCUUCCAGAUGGCUCUGUGAUCGAUCCUCGAAGAGGUGACUCCAGUUUUCUUCAUAUCUUGCUUCAUUUUGUGGCAAGUGUGGAGGUGGCACCCAAAAGUCUCUUGAGCCCUCCUUGGCAGAGUCAAAAGGUCCUCGGGGAACAUUUCUCGAGUUAUCAGUAGCAUGUUGAGGUCGAGAGGUAUAAUACCAAUCAAUAAUAUAAGGGUAAUUUUCUUGAUCAGCAUCAAUCAUCCACAUUGAACCUAAUUGGUAGCCGAUUCCUGGAAUGUUUUGUGACAUUUCCCUUGUCAGGAAGCUGUUUCUGUCCCCUAGGCCUCUGAAGUUUGGGGUCCAUUGCUGCAGCAUUCCAGGAGGUGAAUAUGCAGGUCGUCUUGUUCCAAGCCCUUGCAGCAUUUGGUCCCUGAAUUUUUGAAGUGUCGAAAGAAACUGCUUUCCCUGAGCAUUUGGAUCCCAUGUAGGAUAACUACUCUGAAAGCUGCCAGCAAAGACAAGGGGAAUCAGCAUGAGCAGUGCAGGUUAUUAGCAUACAGGUAGAUCUUGUAUCAGAAAUGAUCCAACCACCUUUACAGAUAAAGAGUAAGUAAUGGAAGUCAUUAUGAGACAACAAACAAAAGUAUAAUGAACCUCAGUACAAUUCAUUCAUUCUAUGAGAAACUAAUUAUACCUCAAGAAUGAUUUCUCCAUUUUUCCCUGGGAACUCCUCUGAAUGCUUGGUGAACUGUAUGGUGAACCGUAAUUGCUAUUUCCAUGAUUUUGAAAGUCAAAGACACUAUAGCUGUCCGAAUAACGAGUCAAAACAAUAACAGGUUGCAUACUGAUACUGCCAAUGCAAGUCGAGCAACAGAGGAGCCAUGCUACCAGAAACCAAAAUAAAAAACAGUCAAAACUAACCUGCAUAUAUGACCAACACCUUCAACAUUUACUGUGAAAUCUGCAAUGAACUGGAGAAUAUCGUCCACUCGCUGCAACAUUGACAAAGCUUCUCAGUUCAAAAACUAGAAUAAAUGGUGUCGGUACAAAUUGACAUAAAGGUGUAAUGAAUAAUAACCUUUGGGACAACAAAUAACAGCAAGUAUGGAGUGAGGAAGAUUGAGGCCAUCUCCUCCAACAGCAUCAUUCCAGUGUACUGCAGCAAGGAAACUGAAUAAUCUAAGCAUUAAAAUCGUUAUUCAAGAACACUGGUCUUGUUACUUUCAGAAAGGAAACAUGUCUCAUUCCAAAAGUAACAGUGCUAUGAAAUUACUUAAAAAGGUGGGGUAGGGGUGGGAACAGGUGAAUUCUGGGAGACGUGAUGAAGCCGGGGGGUGGGUGGGGUGGGGGGUUAGACAUAAAAACUGAAUACUCCACUCAAUAAUACAUUCGCCAGGAGGAAAGGCACUACUGAAUGUGGAAGUGUGCAAAUGGGAGAAAACUAUAACCUGCUUCCACAAUUCUUGAUUGUGCAUUAGACAAUUGUGACAAAAAAAGUACUACAUUAUGCCAACUAUGUGCGACAAUCGCUAAACAAAAGAACUACAUGAUUCCAACUAAUUUCCAACUAAAGAAACAACUUGAACUUUUUAAUCUGGAUACAAACUUACACCAUUAAUGAUUUGGGUCCAAGACCUGGAUGUUGGACAAACACCCGCUCAUUCUCAUGCAGGAGUAUGUAAGUAAUAAGAUAAAAUGGGAAAAAAAGAGAAGGUUAAAAUAAUUUAAACAAUUUAACCAAUAAAGUGAAGAACUCCUCUUCCAUUCCUUCUCUUCUUCACUUCUCCAUUUCCUUUCUUUAUUUUGCUUUUUUCCUUUUUCUUCCUACUGUUACUCAUCUCCCCACACACAGACACACACCCUCCUCCAAUUGAUUGCAUGGAAGUGAGAAGGUUAAAAUAAAUUAGCAAGUCCUAUCCAAUUACAAAUUAAUAAAUUCAUUCAUUAGUGGGUACCCCAAACCAGAUAAGCACUAAAUUUCAAGAUUAUCGCUUGGAAAACUCCAGCUAGUUCCAGUUUUAGAAGUUGCUAGAGCAAACAGUUCACCAUGGCUUACCUGAAAUAGUGUUUCAAAUUCCAUCCG
rnacentral:lncRNA from 1 species